ACACAUCAGACCAAAGCAUCCGCCCCUGGCACUGGGGCUGCAGCUCCCAGCUGACCUGGCUGCAGCACCUCCAGCCAAACGGCUCCGAGCUCUGCCCACACUCGGUGCAUGUCUCUGGCCCCAGCCGCAAGCUGGAGCCCUGCCAAGCAGAGGGCUGCCUGCCUGAAACACGAGCCAGAGCAGGCUACGGUCCUGUGAGACGGAAGGCUGCUUGGAGCUGAGCCAGCACCAGGGAAACCACCAUUUCAAGGUCCUGCGAAGGAGCCUGAUGCUCUGCAGAGACGGUGGGUGAUGGGAGCUGCACCUCAGAGACUGUGUCCUGUGCCACCAGCACGUGGAGGGUGCAGCAAGAUCUAAGCACACCAUGCUCCUACCUGCCCAAAAAGGCCCCGGGAUACCCAGAAAC